rnacentral:rRNA from 1 species
AUAUUGGACAAUGGGCGAAAGCCUGAUCCAGCCAUGCCGCGUGUGUGUCGUAGGUCUUCGUAUUGUAAAGCACUUUAUUUUGGGAGGAAGGGCAGUAAGUUAAUACCUUGCUGUUUUUACGUUACCGACAGAAUAAGCACCGCCUAACUUCGUGCCAGCAGCCGCGGUAAUACGAAGGGUGCAAGCGUUAAUCGGAAUUACUUGGCGUAAAGCGCGAGUAGGUGGUUCGUUAAGUUGGAAGUGAAAGCCCCGGGCUUAACCUGGGAAUUGCUUUCAAAACUGACGAGCUAGAGUACGGUAGAGGGUAGUGGAAUUUCCUGUGUAGCGGUGAAAUGCGUAGAUAUAGGAAGGAACACCAGUGGCGAAGGCGACCACCUGGGCUAAUACUGACACUGAGGUGCGAAAGCGUGGGGAGCAAACAGG